UACGAAGGGGGCGAGCGUUGUUCGGAUUUACUGGGCGUAAAGGGCGCGUAGGCGGCCGAUCAAGUCAGGCGUGAAAGCCCCGGGCUCAACCUGGGAAUGGCGCUUGGGACUGGUUGGCUUGAGUUCGGGAGAGGAGAGUGGAAUUCCCAGUGUAGAGGUGAAAUUCGUAGAUAUUGGGAAGAACACCGGUGGCGAAGGCGGCUCACUGGACCGGUACUGACGCUGAGGUGCGAAAGCGUGGGGAGCAAACAGG
rnacentral:rRNA from 1 species